AAGUCGUAACAAGGUAACCGUAGGUGAACCUGCGGUUGGAUCAUUAAAUUGAAAAAGAGAGAGAAGAAAUUCUCUUGAUUUUAAACAUUUAGAGAUAAUUGAAUGUUUUUUUGUGGAGAGAAGAAGAGAUUCUUUUUUCCACAAAUUUAAAUAAACCAUAUAUUUAUUAUUAUUAUUAUAAAAUAAAAAAAAACAACUUUUGACAACGGAUCUCUUGGCUCUCGUAACG
rnacentral:misc_RNA from 1 species